rnacentral:rRNA from 2 species
AGUGAACGCUGGCGGCGUGCCUAACACAUGCAAGUCGAACGGGGUAGCAAUACCUAGUGGCGCACGGGUGAGUAACACGUAGCUAAUCUGCCCUAUAGCGGGGGACAACAGUUGGAAACGACUGCUAAUACCCUAUACUCCGGUAUCUCACAAGAGGUAUCGGGAAAGUUUUUCGCUAUAGGAUGAGGCUGCGGCCUAUCAGCUAGUUGGGGAGGUAACGGCUCACCAAGGCUAUGACGGGUAGCUGGUCUGAGAGGAUGAUCAGCCACACUGGAACUGAGACACGGUCCAGACUCCUACGGGAGGCAGCAGUGGGGAAUUUUACACAAUGGGCGAAAGCCUGAUGUAGCAACGCCGCGUGGAGGAUGACGGAUUUAGGUCUGUAAACUCCUUUUAUAGGGGAAGAAAUUUGACGGUACCCUAUGAAUAAGCGCCGGCUAACUCCGUG